rnacentral:rRNA from 1 species
AUGGUAAACAACUAUGCUAAUAAGGGUCAGGAGAACAAUAGAGAUGCUAAGAGUCAACAUUUUGGGGCUAAGGAUAUAAACAACAACAAGGCUUAUGAGUCCAAAGAGAGCUCGAGUGGCCUCUUUUGGUUCUUGAAGCCCUGCACUUUCCUGGUGGAGUAG